GGCGGGGUAACGGCCCACCAAGACAACGAUGGAUAGGGGUUCUGAGAGGAAGGUCCCCCACAUUGGAACUGAGACACGGUCCAAACUCCUACGGGAGGCAGCAGUGAGGAAUAUUGGUCAAUGGACGAGAGUCUGAACCAGCCAAGUAGCGUGAAGGAUGACUGCCCUAUGGGUUGUAAACUUCUUUUAUAUGGGAAUAAAAUGUUCCACGUGUGGGAUUUUGUAUGUACCAUAUGAAUAAGGAUCGGCUAACUCCGUGCCAGCAGCCGCGGUAAUACGGAGGAUCCGAGCGUUAUCCGGAUUUAUUGGGUUUAAAGGGAGCGUAGGUGGAUUGUUAAGUCAGUUGUGAAAGUUUGCGGCUCAACCGUAAAAUUGCAGUUGAAACUGGCAGUCUUGAGUACAGUAGAGGUGGGCGGAAUUCGUGGUGUAGCGGUGAAAUGCUUAGAUAUCACGAAGAACUCCGAUUGCGAAGGCAGCUCACUGGACUGCAACUGACACUGAGGCUCGAAAGUGUGGGUAUCAAACAGGAUUAGAUACCCUGGUAGUCCACACAGUAAACGAUGAAUACUCGCUGUUUGCGAUA
rnacentral:rRNA from 1 species